rnacentral:rRNA from 1 species
GUAGGGAAUAUUGCGCAAUGGACGAAAGUCUGACGCAGCGACGCCGCGUGAGUGAUGAAGGCCUUAGGGUCGUAAAGCUCUGUUGAAUGGGAAGAAAAAAAUGACGGUACCAUUCGAGGAAGGACCGGCUAACUUCGUGCCAGCAGCCGCGGUAAUACGAGGGGUCCUAGCGUUGUUCGGAAUCAUUGGGCGUAAAGGGUGUGUAGGUGGCCAUGUAAGUCAGGUGGGAAAGCUCCGGGCUCAACCCGGGAAGUGCACUUUAUACUGCGUGGCUUGAGUAACGAAGAAGGUAGUGGAAUUCCAGGUGUAGUGGUGAAAUACGUAGAUAUCUGGAGGAACACCGGUGGCGAAGGCGGCUACCUGGUCGAGUACUGACACUGAGACACGAAAGCAUGGGGAUCAAACAGGAUUAGAAACCCCGGUAGUCC